rnacentral:rRNA from 1 species
GAUGAACGCUAGCGGCAGGCCUAACACAUGCAAGUCGAGGGGUAACAUAGAAAAGCUUGCUUUUCUGAUGACGACCGGCGCACGGGUGCGUAACGCGUAUACAACCUACCUUUUAGCGGGGAAUAGCCCAGGGAAACUUGGAUUAAUGCCUCAUAGUAUAUAAGCUUCUCCUGAAGUUUAUAUUAAACAUUUAUGGCUAUUAGAUGGGUAUGCGUCCUAUUAGUUAGUUGGUAAGGUAACGGCUUACCAAGGCAGCGAUAGGUAGGGGUCCUGAGAGGGAGAUCCCCACACUGGUACUGAGACACGGACCAGACUCCUACGGGAGGCAGCAGUGAGGAAUAUUGGACAAUGGGCGAGAGCCUGAUCCAGCCAUGCCGCGUGCAGGAAGACUGCCCUAUGGGUUGGUAAACUGCUUUUACAGAGGAAGAACCACCCCCACCGUGUGGGGGUUUGGACGGUACUCUGCGAAUAAGGAUCGGCUAACUCCGUG